GGAUGCGAUCAUACCAGCACUAAUGCACUGGAUCCCAUCAGAACUUCAAAGUUAAGCGUGCUUGGCGAGAGUAGUACUAGGAUGGGUGACCUCCUCGGAAGUCCUCGUGUUGCAUUCC
rnacentral:rRNA from 1 species